UGUUUCAGAAGUUUAAGCAGUUAAUUUGCUGCUUAAACUCAUUAGUCACUUUUUAUUUGGCAUGCCAUGAAAACCAUCUUAAAAUAGAUACACAGUCAUGAUGUUGACAGCUCUGUAAUGAGAAGACCUGCUGUGCUGCUUGGAGAACUCUCUGUUUACUGGGCUGAUGCACUGGGCACCGUUGCUAUUGACCCUUUGCUUCUGUGUAGCACUGCGUAGCACUUUGUUUGUGAAAGCCAUAAAACAAGGACUACGAUGAUUUCAUCCUGGCAACCAGACUCCCACCUUUCCUGCCUGCUUCUCCUCUGUGGGCUUCAUGUGAGGAGUAAACAGCCCAACAGCUGUCUUAACGUCUCUUCCUUCUGUUUUUCAAUCUUCAACUCUUCAUUUCCUUUCUCUUCUUGCAGAAUAAAGCAUUCAUACAGGCUUGGAUUGACAUGAGACCGCACUCAUUCAGCCCAGUCCCUCAUAUUCACACUCGCCUCUCUUUUCCUGUAAGCUCCAGCUGAUAUCCAGCCACACAACAUGGACAUCAUGGCAGUUCAAA